CCUACGAGUGGCAGCAGUGAGGAAUAUUGGUCAAUGGGCUUACGCCUGAACCAGCCAAGUCGCGUGAGGGAAGACUGCCCUAUGGGUUGUAAACCUCUUUUGUCAGGGAGCAACGCCGGCUACGUGUAGCCGGACUGAGAGUACCUGAAGAAAAAGCAUAGGCUAACUCCGUGCCAGCAGCCGCGGUAAUACGGAGGAUGCGAGCGUUAUCCGGAAUUAUUGGGGUAAAGGGGUGCGUAGGCGGAAUGCCAAGUCAGCGGUAAAAUCGCGGGGCUCAACCUCGCUCCGCCGUUGAGACUGGCGUUAUUGAGUGGGCGAGAAGUAUGGGGAAGGCGUGGGGUAGAGGUGAA
rnacentral:rRNA from 1 species